rnacentral:rRNA from 1 species
UACGUAGGGUGCAAGCGUUGUCCGGAAUUACUGGGUGUAAAGGGUCUUCAGGCGGGCAAAUAAGUCGGUGGUGAAAUCCCGUUGCUUAACGACGGGACUGCCUCCGAAACUGUAUGUCUUGAGUUCGAGAGAGGGUAAUAGAAUUCAUGGUGUAGCGGUGAAAUGCGUAGAUAUCAUGAAGAAUACCAGUAGCGAAGGCGUUUACCUGGCUCGAUACUGACGCUCAAGGACGAAAGCGUGGGGAG